CAUUUACUUCUUUUACCGUCUCCACGCUGACCUAGGAUCGUCCUUGCAUUGCCGCUCCUCGUCUUUCUAUCAAUUCUUUUUAACCAUCAGUUUUCCAUUUGCCCUUCAUUUUUCCUCUGUUUUGGCGGUAUGUCUUCUUUUCUUUAUUGCUAAUAAACUCAAGUGCAGUUAUUGCCACUGCUCCAUACCAAGUUGUCCUGGGUCACGCGCGCGCUCUAUGGUACAUAACAAUAACUCAACUCAUUAAAACGCUGACUGAAUGGUCCCAUUUUACGCAAUGCUCGGGUGGAUGAAUUAAUCAAAGACACAUUUUAAUGACUCACCAAUGUUAUGUGAUUACCCUAAUGGGAUAUUUGAUAGCACAUAAUUUUGAUAAAAUUAUAUAUAAUUUUAUAAUAAAUAAUUAAAUUAAAUUAUUUAUUUUAUUAUUUUUAUAAAUAAUAUUAUAUUAUAUAUAAUAUAAUAUUAUUUUAAAAAAUAAUCUGAUUGUCUAAAAAAAGAUGAUUAUGUGAUUACAUAUAAUCUCAUAAUUCUGCAAUCUUGCAAUAAGAUAAUUUCAGGAUCAAAAUAUCUUCAUCAAAAUAAAUUAAAAUAAAUUAUGAGUAGUUCUAUUUGAUAAAAAUAAAAAAAUAUAUAAUAGAUGAAAUCAUAAAAAAUGAUUAAUCUCAAAAUUAAAUUAUCUCUCUAGAAAAUAAAAAAUAAUCAAUAAGCAAGGAUGGAGAUACUUUAAAAAAUUUAUUUUAUAUACCAUAUAAUCUAAAUUGUAUACCAAACACUUUAAUAUAGGAUUCUCUAUAAUUUUACAAUAAUAUUACUAUACAUACCAAACACUGCAAUAUAAGAUUUUUUGUAAUUUUAUCAGGUAAUCACAUUUCCUCUACAAUCACAUUACCAUAGCAACAUUAUCUAUGUAAUGCACCAAACGCCACCUGAGAAUUACUUUAGUAUGCACCCACGGAACACACUUGGAUCACAAUACUAUAGGUUGCAGCUGAUAUUUGUACUGCUGCUCAUACGUAUUUCAUUAUAUACAUAAAUAUAUAAUAAUUUAUAUAUAUAUAUAUAUAUAUAUAUAUAUUUAUUUAUUUAUUUAUAUGUACCUCAAACACACAAAAUACACACAUAUACAUGCAUACAUAUAUAUAUAGAUCACCGAAAAAUAUAAAUUUUAAUUUUUAGAUAUUGCGGUCAACUCCCUGUUACCUGUCACCAGUGAUGAGCACCUGCAAAACAACACCCUCACAGACCGAAGUUGUGUCCGAUGGAGAUUCUCUGAUAUUUAAGUUAGAGAGAAAAUUGAUGAACAGUAGAUUUCUGAAUGUCGAGAGUAACAGAGCUCUGGCUCAAAGGUGUCUUACCAGUGCUGUUCACUUAUCCUCCUUUUAUAGAUGAUUUUGAUAUAAUCGUCGAGCACGUGGUCUCACUUUUUAUGGCGCUAAAUUAUUGGACCAUAAUUAUGAAGUUAGUGAGUUAUUAAUUUUCACUAAUUACCAUGACACAUAGUCGAUAACCGUUCAUAGCGGUUUUAGUAUGUUGAGUAGAUUGAUCGACUAUAUGUCAGUAGUAUUGAUAUAUCAGUAGAAGGUCCGAGCAAACCAUCAGCUAGUAGUUCUAAUGUGCUGACAGUCUUGGGUCGGAGGUUAUUCAAGUUGUCUGCUGUUGAUCGGUAGUAGCCGAAUGUCGGUCGGUCAGCCGACAAUGAGUCGGUGUGAUUUGUCUAGUCAGUCAAAGAUUAGUCGAAUUAUAUGUUCGGUCGGUCAGUCUUUGUUGAAGCGAAGUCGGGGUUGGUUGACUUGAGUUGGGGGUUGAUUGACUUACCUCAACAGUUGCACCUCACUCUCAAGUCCAAGGUGACCCGCUGUUUGUCACUAUGUAGUUUUGUCACGUUGGACAAAGAGAGUCAUUUUGUGUCAUAUCGAACCCUGAUUUGGCUGCUAGUUUUUUCGAGAUAUGAGUGUCGGCUGUUUUGUCAUUUUCAUGAGUACAGAACCAUCAUUAGACUGUCAUAUUGACAGGAUGAUUCGGUAUCGGAUGUCAAUGUCAGACGUCAUUUUGAAAAGAUGAUUCGGCACCAGACGAUAUGAUUCUGAUAAGUAGAUCCUUACCAUGUGUUCGAAUGUUAUUGGGUCAGAACUGUUCACGCGGAUAGUAAUGACGUGGCUUGAUCUGGAGUAGCUGCAUCGAACUGUCCGAUCAAUGGUUGACUCAGAUGUCACCACGUGUCAACAUCUGGUGAGAUCUUGAUUGGAUGCUUCGAUCCUAGCCAUUGAGGGAUCCUAUAUAUAUAGGGUCGCUUUCAGUCAACUUUUUAUUUUUCAUUUAUUUUCUUUGCUACAGAAGCUCUGCCAGAGGAUCGUCCCAACAUCUGAAGACUUCUUUUCCUUUUCUCCUUCUUCUUUGAGUUUCAGGUUAAGUCCUUAUCUUUUUGAGUCGUCUGUCUUAUUUAGUUUUCUUCUCUUUGAUGGCUAGGGGUUCCUCCUUUCGGGAUGAUCGGUCGGAGAAUCCGAUUGACGACUCUCCAUCGGACCCGAAAGUGGAGGCUUCUUCACUUUCAGAAUCGAACGUCGAUCUGCUCCAGGAGCAAUAUCGCAUCUCGGAGCAAUUUCAGCUCUUCGCUCCUAGUGCCGAUGGUCGGGUGAACGCCCCUCCUUCGGAUCAGGUGGCUAUUUAUAUCAAAAAUCUUCGGAUGAAUCUUUGAUUUUUUAUUUCGGAGUUCGUCCGAAAUAUUUUGAACUACUAUGAUCUUUGUUCUGCCCAGCUGACACCAAAUUCGAUCCGACUAAUAAUCAGUUUUGCUCUGUUGUAUCAGUUACUGCUGACCGAAUCUCGACCUUUUCUUUUCAUACUUUCUUUAUCCUCCGAUCUCAUCCAAAGGCCAAGGGUUGGUGAUUUUUCAACCUUCAAAAAGGUCUUUCUUUCAUUACUGAUCUUCCAUCGUCCAUUCAUGGAUGGAAGAAUCAAUUUUUUUUUGCUUCUUCCUCUCUUCCUUGGGGCUUUUCUUAUCGUCGGGGCGAUCCAAGAACCAAUCCCAACGAUAACAGCCGGAAGGAGGUCAGCGAUUGAGAGGACUUUCAUCAGCUGAAGGAUAUGACGGUCCCACCAUAAAGUAAGCUUAUGACUGAACAAGCUCUCUAUGAUGCCAGCCUCAGUUCGGUCACUAACUUAGGUAUAUUAUAGUCAGUUACUUCCCACUUUAUUUUUCUUUUGUUUGUUUUUGGAUUGUACUGACUUUCAUUCUGAUUGCAUCCAAGGGUGCAAGUAUCAAGCAUCGAUAUUCGUCAACAUACUGCGAGGAAGAGGACAACAUCCGAAGCUGGUCCUUCCCGACCAUCCAAUUAGAAGAGUCGAGAUGCUGCUUCAACGCAAGCUCCAGCUGCUACUUCAACACUGGCUGAGGAACCCGAUGUGCCAUCUGCAUUGGUUCCUGAGCCGAUCCUGGCGCUGUCAGCUCCGACAGUGCUUCCCAUUGCACCGUCUGGAGAAGAAACUACCGCAGUAACAUUGGUAGCUCCACCAAUCGAGGAAGUUCGGGCUGAGGUGGAGGCUGCAGUUGAACCUGAGCAAUCUGCAGCUGCAUCGAUUGAUCCUUCAACAGGAGUUUCUUUGGUGUAGUCAGUUCAAGCUUCCCCUCACUUUCGAAUGUGGGACCGCCGACAGAAGACCGAGGAAAGGCUCUAAUGACUUCAACGGAUGAUGCAACGUCGGAGGGCCACACAGUCCACUUCGACCUUAGAGUGCUUGGGGAUGAGUAGGCUCUAGCCAAUCCGAUAUUGGCUAAGCGACUCAUUCAAGCCGCUCUUCUCCCGACCAACCGGGAGAGUUGAAGAAACUGGAUGGUGGCUGAGAUGUUCUCGUCCUUCUACCCAAUGAUACUCAGGGUAAGCUAUUUUCAUUUUUUUUAAAUCUGAUUCGACUCAUCUUCUGUCUGCAGUUGGUCCACCAUAUGUUUGACCUGAAAGACGACUAUAUAAAGUUCGACGACUUCCAUCGAAUAUAGACGAAUAAGGUGGCGGCCGUCGAUGCUGAGAAGAUGGCUGUCCUUGAGCAACUUAAGUCGGCAGCUGAAUGGGAGGUCAAGCUUCAACAGGAAGUCUCUCGAUUGACUGACGACUUGAAAUCUUCUGGAGCCGAGCUUGAGUCGGCUUGCUAAAAUAUUUCAGCUCUUGAGUUGCGGGUCAAGAGCAAGAAACACUCCAUCCACCAGCUUCGAUGGGAACGAGACAGAUGUACUGUUGAACUCGAAGCCAAACGUAGACGACAUUGGGCCAGCUUGAAAAGGUUGGCAUUGGCCAAAAAGAAGUCAUCUUCCGCAUGAGCCGAUGCUGAGUUGGCGAAGGUGGAAAUGAAGUCGGUGAGGGAGGCAUUGAGUUGGGCAAUCGAGGAUUUCAAAAAUUCAAAAAAAUUCAAGAAAGAGAUCCUCGAAGGCGGGUUCAUCUCCUACUGCAUUGGAUCUGAAGACGGUCGAGAUGCGAUCAAAAAAUUAUAUCCGAACCUCGACUUGAGUAGCAUCAUCCCUCCAAAGUCAGAAGACGGGGCUGAUGAAGAAAAUGCAAUGCCGACCGAAGGAAGAAUGCCAACAACACUAGAGGUUGUCCAAGUCUCUGAAGCUACUCUAGAGCAAAAAGAUAAAGGGGGUGACUGAUGAUCGAUGUAUUUUUAUUUUUCUUUCUUUUGUAAUCAAACACUCGUAAUCAGACUUCGAUCUAAUUUUAUAAUCUCUUCUUUGUAAUGAAUGAAAAAAAAAAUUUAAGUCAAGACUUCAUUUUGCUUGUUUGAUUUUACUUAUCUACAAUGCAUAGUUAUUUAGCUACCGAACAUCAAUCGGAGAACCGAACGUUCGGUAGGUCUUGUAGAAUCAUCCGUUAGUUACAUAAUUUUUUUGACAUACUUUAAGAAUUAGGAUAAACGAUAAUAAGUUGAAUAUCCUGGGUCCGACGUUGAGUCAGGUUUGUACGUCAAGUUGUUUGAUAAUCGGUGGCAAGCUGAAUAUCCUUCGACUGACUGUAGUCAAGUCGGUAUAAUUUCAAUCCGAUCUUGAUCAUAUUGGCAUAAUGUUUCACUUAGUUAGAACUAAAUCGGUAUGAUAGUCUUUCAACUAUGAUUGACUUUUACAAUGAAAAAUCGAAGUAUAUUUAAUAUCGAGACAUAAUCGGUAUUAUUGCUUUUACAGUGAAAGCCAGCAUGAUUAAUGUCGGUUUUUACAGUAGAAAAUUGAGGUAAAUUUCAUGUUGAAGUAUAGUCAGUAGUUCAGCUUUUACAGUGAAAGCUGGUAUACGAUCGAUGGUUGAUAGAAAUCGACUAUUCACUUAUCGGUUCAAAAUCAUUCUGUAAUUGAUCGAGACUUAUGAUUUUGAAAUUUCAUAUUUCAUUCUGAACAAUGUAUACAUGGGCAAUUUUAUUGAUGAUACAUCUUUAAAUUAUCGACAUUCCAUGUUCAGAGAAUGGCCGACCCUUCAAGUGUUUCUAGCCGAUAUGCGUCCGGUCUGAAUGUUUCGGCUAUUCUAUAAGGUCCUUUUCAAUUCGAAGAUAGUUUUUCUUGAUUUAAAGAUUUUGAGAUUUUUGCUUUCCUUAGGAUCAAAUUUUUUGAUCGGAAGAUCUUCGGCUUGACUCUUGUAUUAUAGUACCGGACUAUCCUUUGCCGAUAUGCAGCCAUCCGAACUUAAACUUGUUGUUGGACUUCUGAAAGUAGAUCUAAGUUGGCCCUCCAACAUUCGGAGUUGCUUGGCUCAUGUAUUGCUCGACCCUCGUUGAUGGCAAUCUGAUCUCUAGUGGGAUCAUUGCUUCUGUUUUGUAAGUCAAAUUAAAUGGCGAUUCUUCCAUCGAUAUGCGAGGAGUUGUUCGGUAUGUCCAUAAGAUCGGAUAUAGUUCUUCCAUUCAGAAGUCUUUAGCUUCAUUCAGUCGGGUUUUGAGUCCAUGCAGAAUCAUUCGAUUGGUUACCUCUACCUCUCUAUUUGAUUGUGGAUGGCUGACUGAUGUGAGUGUGCGUAAUAUGAAAUUUCACACAUAACUCUUUAAAGUUUUGAUUAUCGAGUUGUCGAUCAUUGUCAGUGAUGAUGGUGUGUAGCAAACCGAAUCUGCAUAUGACUGAUUUCUAAAUGAAGUCUUCCAUCUUACUUUCAGUAAUUUUUGUUAGAGGUUCAGCUUCAAUCCAUUUGGUGAAAUAAUCGAUAGCAAUCACUAUGAAUUUUUUCUGACUAGAUACUGGAGGGAAAGGAUCAAGUAUGUCAAUUUCUCACUGUACGAAGGGCCAUGAUGCAAUAAUCGAUUUUAGCUAGCUAGCCGACUGGUAUUGUAUGUUUGCAUACUUCUAGCAUGGUUCACAUCUUCGAACAAGCUCAGCUGUAUUUUUUUUCAUGGUGGGCCAAUAGUAUCUUUAUCGUAGGACUUUAUAGGCUAGUGAUUUGCCCCCAAGUGAUUUCACAAAUCUCUUUGUGAACUUCUCAGAGUGCAUAGUCGGUAUCUGUUGGUUCUAAAUACUUUAGUAAGAGAAGAGAGAAUGAUCUUUUGUAGAGAUGACAAUUCAUCAUAAUAUAUUGGGAGGCCAUUCAUCGGAGUCGUUUGGCUUCUGAAAAAUCUAUAGAGAGAGUCCCAUCAAUCAGGUACUAGACGAUCAGAUCCAUUCAACUCAGUUCAAUAGUGAGUUGUAACAUUUCAUCAACUUUAUCGAUCCUUGGUUGUUCGAGACAUUCAACGAAUGUUUGACCCAGCAAGUUGAAGGAAGUAGUUGCAAGUCGGGAGAGUGUGUCGGCCCGAGCAUUUUCGAUUCUUGGGAUGUGAAAGAUCUCAAAAUACUUCAUGGUUGAUAUAAGAUCCUUCACUUUCUGAAGAUACUUCAUCAUGAUAGGAUCUCAGGCCUCAAAUUCAUCCUUGACCUGUCCAGCAAUUAAUUACGAGUCAGUGAGGACCUUCAGACUGUUGAUGUCAAGUUCCUUGGUGAUUUUCAAACCAGCUAAGAGCGCUUCAUAUUCGGUUUGAUUAUUCAAUGCUUUGAAGUUGAACUGAAGGGCUUAUUCGAUAAUCAUCUCUUCGAAAUUUGUAAGAAUGAGAUCAACUUCACUCCCUUGUGCAUUAAAUGCUUCAUCGAUAUGCAGCACCCAAACCGACGUUAGGUCGGGUUUGGGAGUCAUGGUCUGCUUUAUUGUUUUAUCUUCUAAUUUAUUAUCUGGUACUAUACAUUCGACGAUAAAGUCGGUCAGAACUUGCACCUUCAUUGACGAUCAUGGACAGUAUUGUAUGUCGAAUUCGCUAAGCUUUACUGUCCACUUUGCCAUUCAGCCCGAUGUAUCAAGUCAAUGUAAGAUUGCCUUCAAUGGCUGAUCUAUCAAGACCACAAUUGGAUGUGCUUGAAAGUAUGGACGAAGCCGUUGUGAUGAUAUAAUCAGAGCGUAGAUCAUUUUUUUCAUCCUUGAAUACCUCACUUCGACAUUAUGAAGUACCUUGCUAGUGUAGUAGAUCGAUCUUUGGAUUCAUUUUUCAUCUUCUUGGACGAGCACCGAACUGACCGCUUCAAAUGAAGUCGCUAAAUAGAGAUCCAGUAUUUCUCCGACCUUUGGUUUUGUGAGUAGAGGUGGAGAGGUUAGGUACUUUUUCAAGUCUUUGAAGGACUGUCGAUAUUCAUCCGACCAUGAGAAGUCCUUCAUCUACCGUAAAAUCUUGAAGAAUGGCAAGCAUCUUUCAUCCGACCUAGAAAUGAAACAGCUAAGUGCGGCGAUUCUUCUAUUGAGUUGCUAUAUCUCUUUCUUAGAGCUCCGAUGCUUCAUAUCGAUGAUGGCCUUUAUCUUUUCGAGAUUAGCCUCGAUUCCUCAUUGCGACACAAGAAAUUCAAAAAAAAUUUUAGAGGUCACUCCAAAUGCAUACUUAGUCGGAUUCAACUUCAUCUGAUAUCGUCGAAGUAUGCUGAAGGCUUCUUCCAGAUCUCAAAUAUACUCUGAAGUUUGAAGACUUUUCACCAGUAUGUCAUCCAUAUAUACUUUCAUAUUUCACCCGACCUGUGUCUUGAAGAUCUUAUUGACAAGCCAUUGGUAAGUGGCUCCGAUAUUUUUCAGAUCGAAAGGUAUCAUUUUAUAACAGUAUAUGCCUUUAUCGAUUAUAAAGACUGUGUACUCCUCGUCUUCAGGCACCAUCUGAAUUUGAUUAUAUCCAGCAAAGGUGUCCAUGAAGCUUAAAAGUCGAUGGUCUGAAAUCGCAUCAACCAAUUGGUCAAUAUUUGGUAAUGAAAAGCUGUCCUUUGGACAAGCUUCAUUCAAAUCUGUAUAGUCGAUGCAGAUUCUUCAUUUUCUAUUGGCUUUCUCACCAUCACUACGUUGGCAAGCUAAUCGGGAUAAGUAGCUUCUUUGAUAAAGCCUGCUGCGAAGAGCUUAUCGACCUCUUCGUCAAUGACCUUCUAUCUUUCGGAGAUAAAAGAUCGUUUCUUCUAUCUCACCGACUUGACAUUCGGAUUAAUGUUGAGUUAGUGAGUUUUACAUCCGGAGGGAUGCCCGAUAUGUCGGUGGCCGAUCAAACAAAAAUAUUGGUAUUUACUCUUAGUAAAUUUAUUAGUUGCUGUCGCUUUAGAUCAGACAGCUGCGAUCCAAUUUGGACCGUCUUCUUGAGAUCUUCUUCUUUUAAUAGGAUGGAAAUCAAUUGUUCAACUGGUUCACCCCUCUCCUGAUUCUCUCUUUGGUUCAAUUUGUCGACGGACAGAGAGUCUUCAGGUUUAUUAUUUUAUAUGGAGACUAAGAAGCAGCAUCGAGCUAACUAUUGGUCUCCACGUAUUUUUUCAACUCCACUCCUUGUCAAGAAUCGAACUAGUAGAUGAUAUGUCGAGAUCAAUGCUCUUAAUAUGUUAAGGCUAGGUCAUCCAAGUAUAGUAUUAUAGGUCGAAGAAAUCCGAACAACCAUGAAUAUCACAAGAACAGUGCUUUACAGUGGUUCAGUUGCCGCGAUUAAGGGGAGAGAAAUUUUUCUUCCACAAUAACAGCUUCCCCAGUGAAAUCGAUUAAUGGUGUCGAGGCUCUUCUGAGUCGAUCAAUCAGUAGUCGUAUUUGAAAAAAAAUCGAAUAAAAAAGAACAUUCGAACUUUCAUUAUCUAUAAGGAUUCUUUUUACAUCAUAAUUUAUUAUUGUUGCCAAAACAAUAAUAGCAUCAUCAUGGAAAAUUUGAAUUCCUCAAACAUCUUCUUCCGAAAAAAUUAUUACAUCAUUGAGUCGUCGCCUCUUCAUCGACUCUUCUUUGAAAGUUGCCCUCCAAUUUGAUCGCUCGGAGAUCAUAUUGAUCACUCCUGCAUUCGGUUGAUUAUUGAUGGCCUCAGUUUGUGGCUAAGAUCAUUGGUCAACAGGAGGUUAAGUUGGCCGAUCCUUUUAGUACUUCUCGAGGUAGUCUCGUCAGAUCAGGACCUCUAUCUCGUUUCUGAGCUGGAUGUAUUGUUCAGUAUCGUGACCAUGAUCAUGAUGGAACUUAUAGUGCUUCCUCCGAUCACGGUUCCUCGAGGGCACCUUCAUCAAUGGGGGGUGCCAUAGGUACUUUGCUCCCUUGAUAUCCAUGAGAAUCUGCGCACAAAGAGUAGAAAUAUAGGAGUCAUACCUGCCGUAGCUUGGCUUCAGACUCCAUCAUUGGGGUGAAGCUCGCUUAUUGGAAGGUGGCCGACUUGAUUCGGUCGGAGCUCCACUCUUCUUCUAUUUCUUCUUCUGACCUUUAUCUUCUGUCUGACGUCUGUCAGAAGUAGCCUUAUCCAUGCAGAUGUACUUGUAUGCGCAUUCGAGAAGUUCAGUAUAGGUUCGAGGGAGAGUUUUGUCCAAAGCAUAGGAGAAUCUGGAUCCCCUCAGAUCCCUUUUCAUGGCCGAUAUAGCCAUAUCCUUAUUAAGGUCUUUGACCUCAAGUGUAGCCGUAUUGAAACAGGCCACAAAGUCUCUUAAUGUCUCAGUCUCUCCUUGUUUGAUUGAGAAGAGACUGUCGGAUGUUCGUGAUGACCUUCGGUUAGUACUGAAAUGGGCCACGAAAGAAUAUUUGAGCUGCUCGAAAGAAUCGAUGCUUUCCGACUGAAGCUCGAAAUACCAAGCCCGAGUAGCUUUUCGAAGAGUUACCGAAAAAUCGAUGCAUAAGAGGACGUCGGUUGCCCCCUAGAUCAUCAUGAGAGCUUUAUAGCUCUCUAAGUGAUCGAUUGAGUCGGUGAAACUGUCAUAUACCUCCACCUAUGGCAUCUUGAACUGAGAUGGGAUCGACUCGUCCAAGAUGUGCCGAGAGAAAGGCUGGGCAGUGUGAAAGUCAUAAUCACCAGAGGACUUCCGACCUUCCACUUGAAGUCGGACAAGUCGGCGGUCAAUCUUCUGAAACUUGCGUUCAUAGUUGUCUAACUGUCGUUGUCGGGAGAUCUCGAGAGUGGAACCUCCCGACGAGCUUGAAGGAGAAGCAGAAGGCAUCUGCGGUCGUUUCUCCUUCCUAACACUGUGGAGAUGGGAAGGAGAGGGGGAACAUCGCGAGUGGUGGGUGGCACGAUGAGAAUGCCGAGAAUGUGGUCGUCUGUCUCGAUGGAGUGUCGAGAUGGUCAUUCUAAGGAGGAAGAAGGUGAUCAUCGUGGAGGAUGACGGCUAUGUCUGGAAGGCACCGACUGUGCCAUCGGUUGUGCCGUCAGCGGCUGUUGCUGCUAUUGGAGGCUUUUGACUGUCUCUGUCAAAAUAUUCAUUUACUACACAAGUAUAACGAUCUGGACAUCCGUGGUGACCACGAAAUACGAGGAACUAAUCUCUGCUAUCGGAGAUGGGGGAGGAAGAUCUUUCCGACUGGAAGAGUGCCUCGUCGAAUCAAUUGAAAGUUGGGCUCUGAUUUUUGGCAUGAUCGACUGCAGAUUUGCAAUGCCUCCUAUCUGGCGUGCCAAUCUGUUGCGGCCAACUCCCUAUCAUCUGUCGUCGGUGAUGAGCAUCUGCAAAACAACGUCUUCAUAGACCAGAGUUGUGUCCACCAGGGAUCCUUCGAUGCUUAAGUUAGAGAGAAAAUUGGUGAAUAGUAAAUUUUUGAAUGUCGAAAGUAGUAGAGCUCUGGCUCAAAGGUGUCUUACCGGUGCUGUUCACUUACCCUUAUUUUAUAGAUGAUUCUGAUGUAACCGUCGAGCACGUGGUCCCAUUUUUUAUGGCGCUAAAUUAUCGAGCCAUAAUUGUGGAGUUAGUUGAUUGUUAAUUUUCACUAAUUGCUGUGACAUGUAGUCGAUAACCGUUCAUAGUGGUUUUAGUAUGUUGAGCAGAUUGGCCGACUAUAUAUCGGUAGUUUUGAUAUAUCGGUAGAAGGUCCAAGCGAACCAUUGGCUAGUAGUUCUGAUGUGCCGAUGGUUUUAAGUCAGAGGUUAUCCAAGUUAUCUGCUGUUGAUCGGUAGUAGCCGAAUAUCGAUCGGUUAGCCAACAAUGAAUCGGUGUGAUUUGUUCAGUCAGUCGAAGAAUAAUCGGAGUUGUAUGUUCGAUCGGUCACUCUUUCUUGAAGCGAAGUCGGAGUUGAAUGACUUGAGUCGGGGGCCGAUUGAUUUAUCCCAACAUUAGAUAUUUUUUGUAGUAUAGAUCAUAUCCAACUGUUUGGAUCUUAAAAUUUGAAUACUUUAUCAAUAAUUUUAAAUUAUCAACUCUUAUUUCAAGAGUUGGUAUAAAGUAUGUGGUCCAACACACAUCCAUGUACAUAUGUACAUAUUGUUCUAGAUGUAAGAUUUUAAUUAUUUCAACUCAUUCUGUAAAUAAUCCAUCCAAANNNNNNNNNNNNNNNNNNNNCAAGAAGUAGGUUUAUCUCCCAAGUACUCAAAGCUCGGGCCGGCGGGGUGGGGGGGGGGGGGCGGUGGUUGGGAGGGAGGAGAGGAGGGUUCAUGUCGUGUGCCUAGAUGUUGGGUCCCAUUGGUGGUAGUUUUUGAAUGGACUAAUCAUAUUUAUUUCUUUAUGUUUAUUUAUCAGAUUUGUUCAAAAUUUAUAAUUACUAUUUGGCAGAUUCUCCAUUUUCCUUAAAUUUUGAAUCCUGCUACUUAAUUGGAGCAUUGAGUGCUCAAGUAAUGGUCACAAGCUUGCUUGGAUUUGUUAUUACCAGCAUUUAUGUAUGCUAUUUUGUCGUGGGAAGUAGGAUAGUUGGCUACGAGCUCAAGAUCUGAGGUCUUUUGAAUUAAUCCCGAAAGAUAAUGCGCUCCCAUCUUGGAUUGCUACCAUCAUUUUUUAGAUCUCAAUAAAAAAAUAUUAAAUCAAGAUGAAAAUAUUUAGACGUAUGUGUGUGUGUGUGUGUGUAUAUAUAUAUAUAUAUAUAUAUAUAUAUAUAUAUAAUCUUACACACACAUAUAUAUAUAUAUAUACACACACAAAAAUAAUAUAAAGCACUGGAUGAUUAUCCAAUAUCAAUUCAAUAUUUUGAUCUAUAAUACAAUUAAGUCAUCUCCUCCAUCCUCAUUAUUAUUUCUAGAAGAAAGCAAUAUGCUCCUAGUUCUAUUUAUCGAAACAAAAUUGGAGGGCUAACACGAAGGUGAUGAAUGCUUGCCUGUUGAUGCGGUGGUGCGCAGCGACGUCAUACAAAAGUGGAAUGACUCCCCAUCCACCGUACUCCCAAUCCUCAAGAAGUUCAUGAAUGCGGGCCUCCGGGUCUGGGUCUACAGGUACAACGAAUUAGUUAACAUCAAUAUAUAAUUUCUCCAGAUGGAACGAAAGCGAAGCUCGAUUCCAAAACUCUUUAACUCACCAACUUGCAUGGUUUUCUGCACGAUCGAUGAUCACAGCGGGGACACGGACGGGAGAGUCCCGGUGACGUCGACGAGGUACAGCAUCAACGCGAUGGGACUCCACGAGAAGAAGGAGAAGGGAACGAAGUGGGGAGGGUGGCGG
rnacentral:lncRNA from 1 species